rnacentral:rRNA from 1 species
GAUGAACGCUGGCGGCGUGCCUAAUACAUGCAAGUCGAACGAAACUUCUUUAUCACCGAGUGCUUGCACUCACCGAUAAAGAGUUGAGUGGCGAACGGGUGAGUAACACGUGGGCAACCUGCCCAAAAGAGGGGGAUAACACUUGGAAACAGGUGCUAAUACCGCAUAACCAUAGUUACCGCAUGGUAACUAUGUAAAAGGUGGCUAUACUACCGCUUUUGGAUGGGCCCGCGGCGCAUUAGCUAGUUGGUAGGGUAAAGGCUUACCAAGGCAAUGAUGCGUAGCCGAAUUGAGAGGUUGAUAGGCCACAUUGGGACUGAGACACGGCCCAAACGCCUACGGGAGGCAGCAGUAGGGAAUCUGCCACAAUGGGCGAAAGCCUGAUGGAGCAACGCCGCGUGGGUGAAGAAGGUCUUCGGAUCGUAAAACCCUGUUGUUAGAGAAGAAAGUGCGUGAGAGUAACUGUUCACGUUUCGACGGUAUCUAACCAGAAAGCCACGGCUAACUACGUG